CACGUAGGGUGCGAGCGUUGUCCGGAAUUAUUGGGCGUAAAGAGCUCGUAGGCGGUGUGUCGCGUCGGCCGUGAAAACCUGGGGCUUAACUCUGGGCGUGCGGUCGAUACGGGCAUCACUGGAGUUCGGCAGGGGAGACUGGAAUUCCUGGUGUAGCGGUGAAAUGCGCAGAUAUCAGGAAGAACACCAACGGCGAAGGCAGCUCGCUGGGACGGUACUGACGCUGAGACGCGAAAGCGUGGGGAGCGAACAGG
rnacentral:rRNA from 1 species